UUGGACGCUGCAGGAGCUGCCGUCGCUGCUGGUCCCGCUGGGGCUGAGCCUCUUCAGCGGCGCGGCCCGCCUGUCCGAGUGGCCGAACCGGAUACUGCUGGCGCUGUUCAUCGUGCACUACGCGCACAGUGGGUCCAGCCUACAUUGAUGAUGGCUGUGAAGAACAUGCUGUUUCUUCAGAUGAAAUCCUUUCGCCAAAUAAAAAAACAGUGAUAACCUGCUGCUGCAAAACAUACCAGUGUGAUUACCUUCUUCCAAUGCUACCCUGUGGACUGUUGAUGCUUUCACUCAGCAGUACUGCGUAGACACGGGUCCUGAUUUCUGCCAAAAUCGCAAUGGAAAAUAUGCAAUAUCAUCAAGGCAACAUAAGAACAAAACACGGAAACUCUGUGAUACAGUCUUCAAUCAGGUGUCCCCGAAUGAUGCAACAAUUGAAAGGCCCUGGCUCAUAUGCACACCAUUGACUGGCUGUGUCUUCUGUUUUGUGUGCAAAUUGUUUUCUGUGAAUAAUACAUCUGCACUAGCCAAGAGAGGAUUUGAUUCAUGGAAUCAAAUUGGCAGACUUGGUGACGAUGAAAGUUCUACUGAGCACUAACCAGCUCUCACCACUUACAUAAUGCGUUUAUCAAAGACUCAAACCUUGAUAAACAUAUAGCAGAUGGAUGUAUUAAAGAAGGAAAUUACUGGACACAAGUGUUGAAGUGAGUCGUAUCAGCAAUAAAAUUUUUGACAACAUGAGGUCUGGCACUGAGAAGGACUAAUGAAACCUUUGGGAGUCUUAAUAAUGGCAAUUUCCUUGGCUGCUUAGAGUUCUUAGCAGAAUACGACCCUUUCCUGAUCUGCCACAUCAACAAGUAUGGGAAUGCUUGUCAUGGCACAACAUCAAAUCUAUCCUCAACAAUCUGUGAAGAGUUCAUCAAAUUCAUGGCUGACAAGGUAAAGCACGAUAUUGUGGAUGAGCUAAAACUGGCUAAGUACUUUACCUUCAGCGUUGAUUCCACGCCAUACUGAUAAACUGACGUUUACUGUGAGCUACGUGCUGAAUAACUGUACACCUGUGGAACACUUCUUGAAUUUUGUUUGUUCAUUUAUUGUUAUCAAGGAAACCCUAAGUGAUGAACUAAAUAUCUGUGUAAAGGACAGCAGAGGUCAAACAUAUGAUAAUGCUAGUAACAUGUCUAGCACUUUUUCUGGUGUGCAAGUUCAGGUAAUUGCAGUUAAUGAGAAAGCAGUGUACAUCCAAUGUAUGACCCGAGUGCGUAUACCCGAGUCUACAUCCAGUGCAUGACCUAUGUGGUGUUGCUGCUGCAGAAUCAUGCAUUCAUGCAAUCAGUUUUUCAAUUUGUCCAAAAACUGCAUAUGUUUUUCACAGGAUCAACUUAUUGCUGGGGCCUCUUGUGAGAUUCUCUGAAUGAGGAGCCAUCUGUGGCCAGUAAGAGAGAACUUUUCCCAAGGUGCCUCAGUGACACAAGGUGAUCAGCUCUAACAGAUGCACUUUGCAGUUUUAUCAUUCAACUACAAAAGCUACAAAUCUGUGCUUCAGGCUCUUGGUGCAGACCCUGCAGAAGAGUGACACACAAGCAGAGGCAAACUCAUGUGUUGAAACCAUGGAUUGGUUGGAGAUAGCAUUUAUGACAACUUUUUGGAGUAGUACCCACAAGAUAGACGGCAGGCUGAUAGUGCAGGCUUUGAGCCUGCACCAGACGGGGUCGAGGACCAUGAGGGCCAGCAGCUAAUGGUGAGGGCUGCCACUCCGUGGCAGACUGCCUGGACUGAGGAGCUACAAGCGACAGCUUCCUUUGACGACUUCGACCUCCUCGUAGACCGGCUCACCCAAGAACUGUCUGCGGAAACCGCUGCCAGGAGAAGUUUGAACCAGGAGAACGCCCCGCCUGCCCACAGAACGUCUGCUCCAAACCUCAACACCACCACCAGGGGAGCCAGAAGUAGAGACACCAGACACCGCUACGAUCCAGCAGCGGCUUCAGGGAUCCAAAAGCUGUACCGGGCAAACCGCUCAAAAGCCAUGAGGGAGAUCCUAGAUGGGCCCUCGCCCUACUGCACGAACCCAUCUGAGCAUCUCUACAGCUACUUCAAGGAUGUAUUCAACGGCAUAGCCCAGAAUGAUGCGCAGUGCCCAGAGUGCCUCCGCCCCCUGCCCCGUGUCGACGCAGCAGGUGUCCUGGAAACUGACUUUACGCCCAAGGAAGUGAUGGCUAGACUUUCAAAAACAAAAACACAGCUCCUGGGAAAGACGGCAUCCCCUAAAGCCUCCUAAAGCUGAAUAAUUUUAGCUGACUCACUUGUCAGCCAUCUCAACGGAAGAAUUCGUGCAUAUUCAAAAAUAAACAGCCAUUUGUUUUUUAAAAGGUGACUUUGACAGUACUGUUGUUAGCCUCUCAGAAGUUUAAUUGAAUUCUAAUCAGAGGACCUCAAUAAAGAGAUAUUUGAAGAAUGGGUACAAUGGUGCUCACUUAUAAAGCAGGUUUCAGAGUAGUAGCCGUGUUAGUCUGUAUUCGCAAAAAGAAAAGGAGUACUUGUGGCAUCUUAGAGACUAACAAAUUUAUUUGAGCAUAAGCUUUUGUGAGCUACAGCUCACUUCAUCGGAUGCUUAUAAAGCAGUUUGCCUCCCAGCUGUUAUCACAAGCUCUGCCUACACCACUGCAAAUGCUGAUAAUCAACAUGCAUAAUUUGCAAACAGCAUUUCCAAAUGUCUUUACUGCACAACGCAUUUACCUGACGCUACCAGUCUCAAAGUGCAGUGGUGAAAGGUCUUUUUUCACAUUUAAAAAGGAUAAAAAGUUCUUUAUGUGCUACAACAGUUCAAGAAAGACUUAACAGUCUCAGGCCUGGUCUACGCUACGCAGUUUUGUUGACGAAACACGGGAGGCGUACAAACGGCAAUGCUCCUUCUGCGGACAAAACUCUCCUGCUUUGCCACCAGAAUAAAACCACCUCGAUGAGAGGUAUAGAGCUUUUUGAGGCAAAUUCAUAUUGACAGAGUGUGAGUGUAGACCCCACGCUUGGUUAUGUCACCGUAAAUGGCCUUCAGGAGAUGUCCCACAAUGCCCAUCGUAACCACUCUGAGUCAGCAGUUUGAACUCAGCUGCGCUGCACUAAGGCACACAGGCAUCUGCCCCUCCCCCUUGAAAGCACUGGGAAUUUUUGAAAUUCCACUUUGUUUGCUUGGUGUGGACAUUGCAUCUUCCCAGCUGACUAUGGUGACUCCAUGCAGCUUCUGCUUGGAGCACACCAAAGCUGUGCUGGAUCUGCUGAGUAUGUGGGGAGAGGAGGCUGCACAGUCCCAGCUCCACUCCAGCCACAGGAACUUCGAUGCCUACAGGCAAUUUCUCAUGACUUGUUGGAAAAGGGCUACAAACAGGACAUGCAGCAGUGCCAUGCGAAGAUAAAGGAGCUGAGACAGGCGUACCAGAAGGCAAGGGAGGCAAACCAUCACUCUGUUCCUGCACUGAAGACCUGCUGCUUCUACAAGGAGCUGGAUGCCAUCCUUGGCAGCAACCCAGCCUCCACUGCCACAAGCCCUGUGGAUACUUCGGUGGGGCUGGAGGCAGUGGACUUAACACCAAGGACAAAGUCAUGGAUGAGGAGGUCAAUUUGGAGGAUGAUGUGGAGUACACAGCAGGGUUGUCUGGUGGCACAGCAAGUCAGGAACUGUUUUCCACACCAAAGGGGUCUAGCAAGUCCCAGCAGUCUGUCUCUGACACGCAUAAUGCAGGAGAGGAGAGCCUUGAUGUGGCCUUUAGGGCAACCCCUUACACACUGGCUUGUGUACAUUCCAGAUAAAGAAGCAACCAAGGCAGAGCAAGGAGGACAUUUCAGAGAGGUGCUCCAAUCUUCAGAGGCCAUGGGGGAAGAAUCAAGGAAGUGGAGAGAGACCCUCAAGGAAAAAUUUAAAAUAGAAAGACGGGACAGAAAGGAGAGUGAGGAGUGAAUUGUAAAGGACCAGGAGUAGAUGAUUAAAGUGAUGGAGGCACAAACAGAGAUAUUGUAGUCCCUAAUAAUGCUCCAGGCUGAACACAUGCAUGCUUGCCGCUUCCCCACCGCAGCUGAUACAGAAUGGCUUUCCGUGCCCUCCCCAAACUCCUCCCACACAUUCCAUCUCCCUAUCACAUUCACUUCACCCCUUCAUUCAGCUUCCAAAAUGAUAGCUGGACUUACACAUAACAUUGCAGGGCAGCGUAGGCUCUCAUAGCUAUGUCCUUUCCCACGAAGCCUUUUGUGGGUGGUGGUAAUUGGUAUUUAAUGUUAUCAGAUUUGCCCGUUACUUUGGGGUAUGCUCAUUUAUUAGGAUUACUCUUCUGGGGGUUGUUUCUGUAAUUCUAUUAAUGUACUGCUUGUGUCACUUGUGUUUUCAUGUGGAGCUCUGCUCCUCCCUUCUGUAAGUCUCCUCUCAAUGGAGCUAUCCUGCAGGACCUAGGUUCCCCAGGGCUGGGUUCUUUCAGCCCCAGAACCAGAUGAACGAAGGCGCACGCCCACAUAUUAACAGAGCAAGUCUGGGUGGACCAGGUCAGUCAGCACUUUCCAGCAGACCCCUUAUAUGUACCUGGGCUCAAUAGGCUGGGCCAAGCAGCACUUUCAAGCUGCCACCCUUACGUGCCACAAGUACCACACCGGAACAGAGUAAGCCUGAGCAGGCUGGGUUGAACAGCACUUCCAGGCUGCCACCCUUAUAUGCCCCUGUACUCAGCGGACUGGGUCUAGCAGCACUUUCAAGCUGCCACCCUCGUAUGCCCCUGGACUCAGUAGUCUGGGUCUAGCAGCGCUUUCAAGCUGCCACCCUCGUAUGUCACAGUUUUAGCACAUCCCUAUCACCUCUUUCACGUCACAGUUAUGCUGGUAGUACCCCCUUGAUGAGCAAACCCCACAGUAUUUUUGGGCUCUACAGGGAUCUUUAGCUUAGGUAAGAGAAGCGUUACUGCAGAGUAAAUGGGGAACCUAAAAACACAAAAGAGUGAAGUUUAGAGAGAGAGAGAGAGGGAAGCAACCAGCUUAACCAUAAAAGUUAUUUAUUGGAUAAUAGUGAUAACUACACAAGGAGAGCCUAAACCAAUGUAGCAGUUACAUUAUUAAAGGUUAAUAGCUGAGGUAGAAAGGAAAACAGAGAGAGAAAAAGAGGGGGAUCUCACCACUUCCAUGAAGCUUGAGCUGGUCGGGGUUCCCAGGUGAUGGUAGUAGCUCAGGGUCCUGAGUGCUGGAGACAGGCAGAGCCCCCAGCAUGAUCAGUCAGGAGAAGAUGGAGUCCCGGUGGAACUGAUGCAUAGUUUCGAUCCAAGCAUCAGAACACUUACUGAGUGUGAGUAGGGGGUUUUGUAGGGAGAAUACAAUGGUUCAAGGGAGAACACUAGAUUUGUUUAUGGGUAAACUGGUGACUCAAGAGUUUUCUUUAGGCUAGACAAUAGGAGCUGAUCAUUCUUGGAUAUGGAUGAUGUUCCUUCCAGGGAGCUCACAAUACAAUUAGCUUGCUUCAGUAUUUUGAGUAUCAAUCAAAGAUUCAUUACUAGAAUUGGUCUGAUAACUGCUGAGCUGGGGGUGUGCGGGCAUAGGUUCAUUAACAUGUGACAAUCUCCCAUGAUGCAGUGCUUCCCUGCUUUUCUGGUCCCAGAGUUCAGUGCAGUUCUCCAUUCUGUAUGCAAGUGCUCCCCCACGUUCUUGGACGUCUGGGUGAGGAGGCUAUGGAACUUGGGGAGGAGGGAGGUUGGUUACAUAGGGGCUGCAGUGGCGCUCUGUGCCUUUCCUGCACCUCAACCAUACACUGGAGCAUAUCAGUUUGAUUCUCCAGUAGCCUCAGCAUUGUAUCCUGCUUCCUUUUUUUGGAGACCCCAGGGCAUGGCCACUAGUUAAGUCGAGGGGAUGGAAGGCCAUAAGGGUCGAGGAGGUCUCCCUGCUGAAGGCCUAAGGGCUUCUUCUCAACCCCCCUUAAUAGAAUUCAGGCCUGGCUGGUUUGAGUAAGCUCUUUUGCUCUUAAAACAAUAUUGCAGCCGCAGAUAAUGCCUUAUAGUGUAAGGUUUGCUGACGCCAAGUUAAAGAUAAUAGGAGAGACAACUACAAGGCCAGACAGAAUGUGCUGGUUGUUUAAGUUGCUAGGAAUGCUUGUUAGAGGUUGCAGGAAAUAAACAUUGUUGUAACCCAUAUAAGGAAGGUAGAGUAUUUGUGCAAAUUUUGAUUGGCUAAUGUGUAGUGCAGUAGCAUUAAGGAAUAUAAAAGUGUGUGUAAUGACCUGCUCUGAUGUGCAGGAUUUGAGAUUCUAUUCUCCCUAUACCUUGUUUGCAGCUGCAAAUAAACUUUUCUGCUUCUCC